CUGUCUCUACUGACAAUAGGCAUUUUUGCUUACUAUUGACAGUUUGCAUAUGUGUUUCCACAUGUGCUUUCCUGAUUUUUCAGAUUAAUUCUAUCAAUGGCUUAAAAUCCUGCUGUGGUUCUCCUGAACUAUUCUGUUUUUCCCUGAGGACUCUGGUUCCUUCCUGUAUGGUCUGCUGUCUUUUGCUGUUUUACCUCUUUGCAUUGUAUGUCUGAAA